GUCCACUGAACCUUAUCAUUUAGAGGAAGGAGAAGUCGUAACAAGGUUUCCGUAGGUGAACCUGCGGAAGGAUCAUUGUCGAAACCCACGAGGCAGACCCGCGAACUCGUUCUCAACCCGCAGGGGGGAAAGGCGCGGGCGCGACGCCCCGACCCGGAUCCCCGCUCCGUCGACGUGCGCGUCAGCGACCGUCGCGCGGCUCAACCAACCCCGGCGCGAAAAGCGCCAAGGAACACCAAGAGAGCGUCGUCGGACCCCCGGUGCCCCGUCCGCGGUGCGCACCGGGCGAUCGGACGCGCAUCGAACCCGAAACGACUCUCGGCAACGGAUAUCUCGGCUCUCGCAUCGAUGAAGAACGCAGCAAAAUGCGAUACUUGGUGUGAAUUGCAGAAUCCCGUGAACCAUCGAGUUUUUGAACGCAAGUUGCGCCCGAAGCCGUUGUGCCGAGGGCACGUCCGCCUGGGCGUCACGCACAUCGUCGUCCACCGCCCUCGUCCCCCACGGGACCGCGGGGGUUGGGCGGACACUGGCCCCCCGUGCGCCACGUCGCGCGGCCGGCCCAAACCCGAUUCGACGUCGACGCGCGUCGCGGCGAUUGGUGGUUGAAGACCUCAACUCGCGCCUCGCCGUGCACGACCGCGUCGUCAGGCUCGAACGCGUCGACCCGACGGUGCUUCGCACCCCGACGGCGACCCCAGGUCGGGCGGGAUCACCCGCUGAGGUUAAGCAUAUCAAUAAGCGGAGGA
rnacentral:rRNA from 1 species